rnacentral:lncRNA from 1 species
AGCCUGUUUCAUAUUUUAUUACAAAAAAGCGAACAGAAGUAUUGUUUCGUUCUAAAACCUGUAUUAAGUAUAGAAAAAAGCGUUCGAUAAGCCCCAAUUGGCAAAAACACAAGAUUACUAUCAAACGAAUUCAAUGUUAAACAAAAUGUAUUUUGUAUUUUAAUCAGGGAAACAAUGACUUCACGCAGGUCAUUUGUUAAGCCUUGAAGCACAUUUCAUUUAAACUUGGUAUCGUCUGGUUGAUUUUUUUAAAUGAAUUGCCCAUCAUUCUGAAAAAAAAAUAUCUCCAUAUAGGUAUAUGAUUAAGAUUAAUGUUAUAAAAUAUCAGGUGCAUGUCUUUUUUUAACCAUAGUCAUUUGUCAUCUAAACCCGGUGACAUGCUCUGAAUCCGUCUCUUUACGGUACAAUAAUUUCACAGCAUCUUAUAGUGUACCGUAUGCGAGUGUGGUCGCUGUUUCUGUUUAAAUGUAUAUAUUGCAUAAAGUGAUCAUGCGGACAAGUAACAUGUUGUCUGUCAAGAUAGUAAUUUUUUCCGUCACCAUCUUUAGUAAAACCAGUAGAAUAUUCAUUACAGCCAAGUCUUAAUCCAUAAUCGCCUAGUACCUGUUUACAAACAUACUCGUACCGCAAAGAAGUAUGUCCAGCAUUUCUUACUAACUUCAUGCUUUGUAAUAAUCCAUGUCCACCGCACGAAAUGUAUUGACG